rnacentral:rRNA from 1 species
AAUGAACGCUGGCGGCAUGCCUUACACAUGCAAGUCGAACGGCAGCAUGACCUAGCUUGCUAGGUUGAUGGCGAGUGGCGAACGGGUGAGUAAUGCAUCGGAACGUGCCUUUUAGUGGGGGAUAACGUAGCGAAAGUUACGCUAAUACCGCAUAUUCUCUGAGGAGGAAAGCAGGGGACCUUCGGGCCUUGCGCUAGAAGAGCGGCCGAUGUCGGAUUAGCUAGUUGGUGAGGUAAAGGCUCACCAAGGCAACGAUCCGUAGCGGGUCUGAGAGGAUGAUCCGCCACACUGGGACUGAGACACGGCCCAGACCCCUACGGGAGGCAGCAGUGGGGAAUUUUGGACAAUGGGCGCAAGCCUGAUCCAGCCAUGCCGCGUGAGUGAAGAAGGCCUUCGGGUUGUAAAGCUCUUUCGGCUGGGAAGAAAUCGCACCCUCUAAUACAGGGUGUGGAUGACGGUACCAGCAUAAGAAGCACCGGCUAACUACGUG